rnacentral:lncRNA from 10 species
CUGUUAACUUCAGGUAUUAGCUUGGCUGGAUUAAGGGAUACGAACAAAAAGGCAGAGAAAAGAUGAAUUAUUUCUUAUUCUCCUGGAGUGGAGACACCUUUCUCUUGUCCUUAAACAUCAGAACUCCAGGCCUUUGGGCUCCAGGACUUACUCCAGCAUCCUCCCUCAGCCCCAUCUCAGCUUCUCAGGCCUCCCCCAUCAGACUGAAAAUUAUACAUUGGCUUCCUGCUUCUGAGGCUUUUGGAGUUGAACUUCUUAGCCUCUACAAUCAUGUGAGCCAAUUCCCCUAAUAAAUCUCUUUCUAUCUAUCUAUCUAUCUAUCUAUCUAUCUAUCUAUCUAUCUGUCUGUCUAUCUAUCUAUCAUGUAUCCCUCUAAUCUAUUCAUCCAUCCACCCAUCUCAGUAUCCUAUUGGUUCUGUGAUUCUCCUGUCUCAGCCUCCUGAGUAGCUGGGAUUAUAGGUGCUGCCACCACGCCUGGCUAAUUUUUCGUAUUUUUAGUAGAAACCGGGUUUCACCAUGUUGGCCAGGCUGGUCUCAAAGAGCUGACCUCAGGUGAUCCACCUGCCUAGGCCUCCCAAAGUGCAGGAAUUACAGGCAUCAGCCACCGUGCCCAGCCCUGUUUAGGUUUUGAAGUGAAUAUUUUGGAGAAAAACACAUGGAGGAAUAAAAUUCAUUUUGAUUAUCACUGCAGUGGUAAAGAGCACAGACUCUGUGAGCAGAUGGCCAUGUUCGAAUCCCAGCUCCUGCACUCAUUAUCCCUGUGACCCUGGGAGAGUUACUUAGCUUCUCCAGGACCCCCCACUUCCUCACACAUCAAAAUAUAUAUAACAACAGAUUUGCAAUGAGUAUUGUAGGGGUGCUGGCACCCCACUCAACCCCCCUUGGCAUGCCUUCUCCCUGUGAACACUUAUGUCUUCUUACCCCAGGCUCCCUACCUGUCUUUGCAGGGACUUCCUGGCCACCAAGUCAUAUUCAACACAUGAGUGAGGCAGACCGGAGUGCU